ensembl:lncRNA
CUUGAAUGUAACACAUUGUGGAAAUCAUAAUAUAAGCAGCCAGGGGAUGAAAAACUUCUCAUUCCAAAUGGCUUUUAAUUAAAAAGAAAAAGAGAAAUCUAGUUUCACUGUAAUCUGUAUUAGAAGAUUAGCACGGAUGGAUGUCCUGCUCAGGACUCCCAAACCUCACCUUCUUAUCCUCUUUCCUGUCCUUUCCAACCUGUUUGACCUCGGUGCUUUCAUCACUAUGUGCAUUGUCUAAUAACCUAACAGUUUUAAAUUCAGUAUUCAUUUUUUGGAUUUUUAAAAAACAAAUACCUUUUAAAGACAGUUUUGUGUUCAACUUAUGUUAGAUGAUUUAUUUUAAAUUUAAUGACUGCAAAAACGUGCAUUUCUUUACUCUAAAAGCAUCAUGGAAUUUCAUUGCCAUAUUUAAAAAGUUCAUAUAAACCAACUGCCAAAAUACUACCACCUUAGAAAUAAUAUAGCUGUGGGCAAAUGUUACGGACUGCUGAGGCAAAAGUCACCCAAACUGUACAAAGGCAGGCUAUUCGUCAAGAAAGGAUACUUGGAUCAUCCUGAUGAAAUGAAUUACUGACUGCUCUCAUAAGUAAAAUCAAGUGCAGCCUGGACUUAAUUUUGCCCAGCAAGGAAAAGCUAAUUGGUGGUGGAGAAGGGAUAAGAAUGGCAGGAGAAAGCACCUUUGUCAUCCUCAACUUGGACUUGGCACAUGAGGGCUCUGCACAUGGUCUGUUGCGGUCAGACUCCUAUGUGGUGGUACGUCAUAUCAAUGCACUAUCUUUUGAACAGCUAGAAGCAAUUACACUCCAGCAAUAAUGAGCACACCCAGCACCAAAGUCUUGUCUUCUAAUAUUAU